CCUGUGGGCAACAUGCAGGCAAUGUGGACCCUUCUUUGUCUGACAGCUGUUCCCCUGGGUGUGCUGUCUGAUCUGACACUUCAGGAGUCAGGACAGAACCUGCUGAGGCCUGGAGGUACACUGUCCCUCACCUGCACUGUCACUGGGGGUUCUGUCACUAGUAGUUACCGGUGGAAUUGGAUCCGCCAGCCUCCUGGGAAAGCUCUACAAUGGAUGGGAUAUUGGACAGGUAGCACAAGCUACAACCCAACUUUCCAGGGUCGCAUCUCCAUCACUGCCGACACAAGCAAGAACCAGUUCUCCCUCCAGCUGAACUCCGUGACCACAGAGGACACAGCCAUGUAUUACUGUUCAGCAGGAGGUGCUCAGCACACUGGUGUAGGGAUCUGA